AAAGUUAAAAAGUUAAAAAGUUAAAAAAUUAAAAAGUUAAAAAAUUCACAGGUUCGAAAUCUACAAAAUUAAAAAAAAAAAAAAAACUACAUAAUUUUUUUUAAAAUUCGCAAAAAUCGAAAAUUAACUAUUAAAAAAAAAAAAAAAAGCAUUUCUAGGAUUUUUUUUUAAAUUUCCAUUUAUGCACUGUGUAUGUAUACACAUUAUCUUUUUUCGAUAUAUAUAUAUAUAUAUAUUUGUAUUUUUUUUGGUUUUUAACAAUACAACCAAAUUACAACCACAUACUUAUCCUUCAUUAUAAUAUAAAAAAAACGUAUUUUAAAAAAAUAAUUUAAAAAUUAUGUUUUUAAAUUUGAGAAAUAUAUAAAACAUACAUGUUAAUGAAUAUACAUGAGCAUGUACAGAAAAAUGUAUUCACAUGAAUAUGCAUAAGCACAUAAACAACUCGUACAUAUAAACAUUUUUUUUUUUUGUGUAUAUAUAAACACUUUAUGUUUGUUUUUUUUUUUUUUAUUUACUUGUUUGAGUAAUUUUUUAUGAACAUGUAAUUAUAAUUUUUUUUUUUUUUUUUUUUUUUUUGCUUCAUUAUGGUUAAUAAGCUAAAGCUGAAAUUGUACACUAUAAGUCAUCAUAUGAAAUAUAAUUUUUUUAAAAACUAUAGGGUUGCUAUAAAAAAAAUAAAAUUUUGUACAUAUAAAAAUGGAGAAAAUGAUAAAUCUACUAAGUUUAACAACCUAAUGAGGAAAACUGAACAAACGAUACCUCAUAUUUUUUUAGAAACUGAAAUUUAUUUUGAAUUUAAAGACAUUUUUUAUAGAGGGUUAAAUUUACACAGUUUGUGCUCUUAUUCCACAUUUGACGAUAUAAUUUAUUUAUUGUUAUAUAAAAGACUACCAACAAGAAAAGAAAUAAGUGAUAAAAAUUGUUACAUAGAAAACAAAUUUAAAAAUGCAGACUUAACAAAAUUAAUAAAAAUAAUAAAAAUACUAGAAGAAGACAAUUUCUUAGAACUAAUAAGAAUUAGUAUAUUACAACUUUCAUUGAAACAACAAAUGUAUACUAGAGAUAAUAAUUUAAAUUAUUAUGAUGUUAUGGCAUAUUCUUUAAAAUUGUUAAUGUUUUUUUAUUAUAAAAAAAUAAAUUACUCCUAUGAUAUGAAACAUAUAAAAUAUGAUAAUUUAUGUUCACAUAUUAUUAUAUACUAUGGAAAUAAAAAGUUUUAUAAAUGUAACGAAAAUAAUGAAAAAAAAAGUGACGAAAAUAAUGAAAAACAAAGUGACGAAAAUAAUGACAAACAAUGUGAUGAGAAAAAAAAACUUUUAAAUGCUCUUUUUAUUUUACUAUGUGAAAAUGAUAUAAACGAAAACACCUUUUUAAUAAGAAUGAUAUCUAAUGCGAAUAGUAAUAACUACUUUAAUAUAUGUCUAUCCGCUAUAAGUUUUUUUAUUGAUACUUUGAAAAAAAUAGAUUUUUACCUAGCCUUAACAUCUUUUUUAAAUUUUUAUACACUUUUAAAAAAAAGAGAGGCACAAAAUAACAAAAAAAAAAUCGGAAAAAAUGCCAAAACUAUAAACGAAAACACAAAUGAAAACACAAAUGAAAACACAAAUGAAAACACAAAUGAAACCCCAAUUGACAUAAUGAACAUUUACAAUAUUGAAUUAUUUUUUUACAAUAAUAAUUCCUAUGUUAAAAAAAAUAAAAUAUUAAAAAAAUAUUUAACAACUUUUUGUAAUGGCACAUCGCAAUAUAAUAUAAACUUAAUUAAUGCUUUUAUACAAAUUGAAGAAACGAUUUUGAAACAUAAAAAUAAAUACCCAUCAUGUUAUUUUUAUGCACUUUUAAUUUUCCACGUGUUAGACAUACCAUUAGAAUUAUUAUCUUCUUUUUACUUCUUAACAAGGUUAGCAAGUUUUACUGCACAUAUAAAUGAACAAAACCAAAAUAGAAAAAUCGUUAAAUUUUCUAGUGUAUAUAUAGGAAAUACAACUAUGAGACAGCCGGAUGAAGUAUAGAACACUGUAAAGAAAAAUGAAAAAAAAAAAAAAAAAAAAAAAAUAUAAUACAUUUAAUCGUUUUUCUUUUUGUUUAUUUGUUUGUUUCAUCGGUUAUAAAUAUAUAUAUGAUCGACAGCUGGGUCGGCUAAUCGAUCGAUCAUACUGUUAAUUAUUCCGUUUUCUUACUUUUGUGUUACUGUCAAUUUAUUAAAUAAAAAGUAAACAAAGUGCUACUUUAGUUAUCA
ensembl:lncRNA